GACGAACGCUGGCGGCGUGCUUAACACAUGCAAGUCGAGCGGAAAGGCCCUUUCGGGGGUACUCGAGCGGCGAACGGGUGAGUAACACGUGAGUAAUCUGCCCUUGGCUUUGGGAUAACCACCGGAAACGGUGGCUAAUACCGGAUAUGACGGGCUCCGGCAUCGGGGUUCGUGGAAAGUUUUUUCGGCCAGGGAUGUGCUCGCGGCCUAUCAGCUUGUUGGUGGGGUAAUGGCCUACCAAGGCUUCGACGGGUAGCCGGCCUGAGAGGGUGACCGGCCACACUGGGACUGAGACACGGCCCAGACUCCUACGGGAGGCAGCAGUGGGGAAUAUUGGACAAUGGGCGGAAGCCUGAUCCAGCAACGCCGCGUGAGGGAUGACGGCCUC
rnacentral:rRNA from 1 species